GAGGGUAUAGCUCAGUGGUAGAGCAUGUGCUUAGCAUGCCUGAGGUCCUGGGCUUAAUCCCCAGUAACCCCA
rnacentral:tRNA from 1 species